rnacentral:lncRNA from 1 species
UAGGUAGCCUAAUCAGUGGUGUCGUUCGUAUGUCCUUCUAAGCUUUUAAGAGGCUUCUCGACAUCUGAUUUUUGCCAGGGGCUUCAUUCGCUAUUUGGAUUCCCUUGAAUUCCUUUGAUAAAUCUUUAAAGGAGUAUUUACAAAGGAGAUAUACUUAAGUUUGCUAUAAUAUGUUUCCGAUAGUGAAAAGACCGUAGGGAAGCAUUGUGCAGUAUUGAAGAUUUACUAAUUGGAAAGCGACAGAUCCGUUGCACUGAUAAUUCACUACUUCGACGCUGAGUGAAGAUAAUGAAGCGUUCUUAAUCGCUCUGGUAACGAAGCGAAGAUAUUUGAAUGUUGCACCUAGACGAGAACUAUCCUGUGAUCCCGGUAGCGAUUCAUCAAGAACUAGCGCGCACCUGUCAGAUACCCGCAGUAUAUUGCUAAUUGUUCGUUUGAGUUGUCUAAAAUAGCCGGUAAAAGCGCUGAUGCCGCCACAGGCUGCAGCAGCGGCUACAACAAUGGCGCUCGCUUUAUGAGUGUCUCAUUGCUUUUUAAUAUCACCGUGUCGAAUCGCAUCGAAAGAAGCAAACCGCUCCCUCUCUGGGUACCUUCCAGGCUUUGGAGCCGCUAGAAACAGUUGAUCAACACCGAUCAGCGUUGCGCUGAAAAGAGUGAAGCAGAACGUUUGUUGGAACAACUGUGUUUCGACCACAAGUCUCAUGCCAACUAAAACAAGACAAAAUAAAUCGGCACGAGUGAAUCAGCGCUAGCUGAAUCAACGACGAACGCUGGUUGACGCGCCAUCCAGUUGCAGGUCACUAUUCGGCCAGCAUCGGGACACCCCACUACGACGAGAAUACACCCUCGUAUAUGUACCUACAUACUAGGACACAUAGACCGGCAGCGAACUACGCGAAACACAUUUACUCAAUAUUGUAGCCUCGUUCCCUUAGCUUUCCGCCGUCACACACAAGUACUAGUAAGCUCAGUGCACGGAAGAAGGAACAGCGCCAAAAUUAAAGAGCAUAUCCCACCCAAGAGAGGAAAAUACAUGCGAGUCGCGUCGUGCGACGCGGUAAACGUUGCCGUAUAGCGCUCGAGUCGGUCAGCAUCAAUGAUCGUAUCAGUGAUGCCAUGACGAGCUAAUACUUCUGUUGAUUAUUUAAUGCACAACUAAAAGCAUUAAAAAGUCAAGAGUAUAAGCACUGUAAAUGAGGAACGGGGGGUGAACGAAAGAAACGGACGGGGUCAGGUGCGAUAGGCAAAAACAUUGUCGUCGUCGUCGUCGCUGCCAUCGCAGUCUUCUUUCGUACGAGAUGUUGACGGUGAUGACGCGGGUGGCGCUAAUGAUGAAAGCGGGUGGCUUUUAGAGAAACGCGAUCGUGCCACAUAAAGAAACAGCGAUGCGAAAAACGUUGUUGGCUCACUAAUGCGUCUUCGAUGGCGGUGCAGUAAUAGAAACAGUUCACGUAGCGGAUUUGAAACCGUAAGCUAGUUAGCAGUAGAAGUAGCAGCACGUUAUGCUUACCGCUGUCACGAUGGACGCAUCGCAAAGUAGGGUCCAGCUGGCAGUCGGCCGAACCGACUCAGGCCCGCGACUCCAGAGGCAAAUACGGCGGAGGAAAGCAGCAACGGUAAAUAACGUUGGUGUCUGCCCCCUCGCACCGUCCGAGACGAUCAGGGCGGGCUGUUUGAUCACACUGGCGUCGACCUCACGCGGUUACGUGAAUCUGAAAUGGCCAGCCAACUAUAGAGAUAGUCAACGCUUUUCCCACAGCCGAAUACACCACAGUAUCGUGGUGCAAUACGCUUUGUUUGAUUAGGCCGAACGUCCAUGUGUCAAACGCCGUUUGAGCUGCAUGAUCCAAGUUGACGGGACCGAUAGGUUUAUUUGCAAAAUGUCUACCUUAGAGGCGCUGGAGAGAAAUGGCUGUAAUGUUGGCGCGUAGUUGCUAAUUUCGAAACUGCCUCCGGAUCUCCUACGACUGGCUGUCUGUACCGUUUAUCACAAAGCGCCGUAUAGAUCCAUUCUCUAUACAGUCUUGUAUCGUCAUCACAGAGCGACUUACUCAGCCAUCAUUAUUAUCUGUUGGCCUAUUCUUUAUUGCUUUUCUAUCCGGACUAUUUGGACAGAAGGCAACAACUGUAAGCUGGGGUUGAGCGUAUCUAGGUCAUUUCGUACGCUGUCGCCGAUAUCUUCGUACACGCAGGAUAACGAUAAUAUGGAGUUGAAGGUUGGCAGGCGUCUGACGCGACUUGUUGCGGCCGACACGACUCGACUGAGAAACCCCUUAACAGCUGAC